CAGCCGCCGCGGUAACACGUAGGUGGCAAGCGUUGUCCGGAAUUAUUGGGCGUAAAGGGCUCGCAGGCGGUUUCUUAAGUCUGAUGUGAAAGCCCCCGGCCCAACCGGGGAGGGUCAUUGGAAACUGGGAAACUUGAGUGCAGAAGAGGAGAGUGGAAUUCCACGUGUAGCGGUGAAAUGCGUAGAGAUGUGGAGGAACACCAGUGGCGAAGGCGACUCUCUGGUCUGUAACUGACGCUGAGGAGCGAAAGCGUGGGGAGCAAACAGGAUUAGAUACCCCCGUAGUCCCUGUCUCUUAUAA
rnacentral:rRNA from 1 species